rnacentral:tRNA from 1 species
GCGGGCGUGGUGAAAUUGGUAAACACAAGGGACUUAAAAUCCCUCGGCCUAACGGCCUUGUCGGUUCAAGUCCGACCGCCCGCACCA